rnacentral:rRNA from 1 species
UACGUAGGGUGCAGGCGUUAAUCGGAAUUACUGGGCGUAAAGCGUGCGCAGGCGGUUUGUUAAGUGAGAUGUGAAAUCCCCGGGCUUAACCUGGGAACUGCGUUUCUAACUGGCAGGCUUGAGUGUGGCAGAGGGGGGUGGAAUUCCACGUGUAGCAGUGAAAUGCGUAGAGAUGUGGAGGAACACCGAUGGCGAAGGCAGCCCCCUGGGCUAACACUGACGCUCAUGCACGAAAGCGUGGGGAGCAAACAGG